ensembl:lncRNA
AAGGGUGGCAGUGGAGGGGGAGCCUCUCUUGUUGGAGAUUCCUGCCUAUCUGAAGUCUUUUGAAGGUAAUUGCUGUUGUACUUCAGUGGACACCUUGCGGGCACAUGGAAGAAUCAAUGUGAACAGUGGUGCUGUUUAUUUCAGCAGUUGAACAGGAGUCAACGAAAAACAAACAAAAAUCCCUUCUUGGUCAUUUGACUUCGUAUUUGGGAAGAAAAAACCUUCACUAAGAAGUCUGGGAAACUGAGAAAAGUCUGUCGUGAGAUCAAGAAUGGGGAUUUCAAAACUAGGGAAAAAGUUCCGCGUGAUGCAUUGUCAGUGAUAGUUGCUGAGUGAAACCCUGGGCUGUGUGUCCAUGAGAUCCUGCAAGUUUUUCUUGCAUAACGUUGCAUGAGGGAUUAUGCAUUCUAUAUUGUGAAAUGUUCAUCUUUGCAUUGCUGCUUGUCGUUGUAGUUUCAGUUUCUAGUUCCUUUCUGGUAUUUUUAGGAACGCUGAUUUUUCUAGGUUGGUAUAGUAUAGCAUGGUAACACUUGCAAUGUAAAGGCCUGUUCGACAUGAUGCCAGAGUAGUGGCACUUGGAAGGUGCUCAGCAUGCCUGUUGGUGCUUUUGUGCAGAUUACAGGUCUGUCAAAAUAACAGAUUAUAUGUCUCUGACAACUGUGGAACUGCUGUUGACAGAUAAUCAUACUACAACAGAAGUGUUGAAUGGGGCAGGGAGGAGGAGGGAGCACGUUGUGUGUUAAAUGUAUGUGAAAUUCCUAGUUGAUGAAUGACCCUGAUCAGGUUCCUCAGAAGUCUGUGAUCUAGAAGAACAUAUCAAGUAGAAAAUUACCUGUUGCUCUUCUGUCCCCUUAGCAUGAGGCGGUGAAGAAAAACAGUGACUUCACAACGACAGACCAUGCUGCUCAUUGAAUCCCUACGUCUAAUGAUAUUCUCUGCUAUUUUAUGUACCUGUUCCCUGGCACAGGAGGAGACCCAUCUUUAUGAGUUCUGGCUACUUGCCAUCAAGUAUUCAUUUCACUUACUCAGCAAGGUUUUAAGAUCUGUAUUCUAGUCUAAUAUUGUUCAACACGUCUGAAUAUGAGGGAGUCUGGCAGCUUUCAUUGUGAUAGAAAUCUGUUGUUCUUGGCUUCCUUUGGUUUUGGCUGUAGAAUUAUUGGUAAAAUUAAACUGAGUCCUUACUGAAACCAAUUUCAAACUCCCAAAGACUGAAGUAAGGCCAAUAUAUCUGUGGCGUAAGGGAAACCUUGCAUUAGAACAACUCUUAUAGCAAGAAUAUUAAUUUUCUUUGGUAAUCUUUAAAUGGCUGCUCGCUUAUCUUUGCGUAAGGUGAUUUUGCUGAUCAAUGGGAAUUUAGUUUGUAUGUAUUUUCCAGCCUGUAGAAAUAGAUCUUCAAUAACUUUUCUUUCUCUGAGAAGUUUUGUGUUGGAUCUGGGUUAUUUUUUGUAAAGAGCAUCUGGAUUUACAAGUAUGCCAGAACAGGCUUGACUAGCUGUUAUUUUCCAGAGCCUUGGAUAAUUUUGGUCCCUUCAGCUUUCAUUAUUCAGAUGUCCAACUGAACAGACCCAAGUUUUACAGGUGAAUAUUAAAUAAGGCUCUAUUUGAAACUGGAUUAGGCCUGGUAAUCAUGAUUUGUAUCUUGAUUUGAUUUGGGAUGAUAAUGAAGGUCUA